CCUACGGGAGGCUGCAGUGAGGAAUAUUGGUCAAUGGACGAGAGUCUGAACCAGCCAAGUAGCGUGAAGGAUGACUGCCCUAUGGGUUGUAAACUUCUUUUAUAAAGGAAUAAAACGAGGCACGUGUGCCUUUUUGCAUGUACUUUAUGAAUAAGGAUCGGCUAACUCCGUGCCAGCAGCCGCGGUACUACGGAGGAUCCGAGCGUUAUCCGGAUUUAUUGGGUUUAAAGGGAGCGUAGAUGGGUUGUUAAGUCAGUUGUGAAAGUUUGCGGCUCAACCGUAAAAUUGCAAUUGAUACUGGCAGUCUUGAGGACAGUUGAGGUAGGCGGAAUUCGUGGUGUAGCGGUGAAAUGCUUAGAUAUCACGAAGAACCCCGAUGGCGAAGGCAGCUUACUAAACUGUGACUGACAUUGAUGCUCGAAAGUGUGGGUAGCAAACAGGAUUAGAUACCCUUGUAGUC
rnacentral:rRNA from 1 species